AAUAAUUUAGGCUGUGUUCGUUUGAAAGGAAAAAACUGUUCAGGCUGAUAUGUGAGGAUGGAUUUGAGAAAUGGGUGUUGUUCGCAUAGGAUGAUUUGCGAUGAUUCGCGAAGAAAUAAAUCCGCUGAUUUGCGAGAUAUUAGUGCUGAACUCAUCUCGCUGAUUUGAGAAGAUUUACGCUGAUUUACUGGAUAAAGACUUAUAUGCCCCGUACGAAAAAUAAAAUUCCAAUACAAACCUUAUUCGAAUUGGAUGCUUAAUAACAGAUCCCAUAAGUAUUGGCUUGAAAGUGACCAGCGGUGGAGUAGAGGUAAUGUUUCUUUCCAUUUUUGAUGUGGUUGUUGUAGGUAGAAGGUCUGGGAUUUAAAGGAAGAGCAAGACAAUCAUUAAUGGAGGAGCAAGAACGCUGUUGAUGAUGAUGACGGAGUGGAUACAGAUGACCAAACGUGGAAGGAGGGAUUGAAGAAGUGAAGAAGCAGGCUGCGUAUUCGGUUUGAAGAAGAGGGUAUCCGGUUCGAGCAUUUUGAAGGAGUUCCAAAGCAGGCGUAUCCGGAUACAAGGUUGGUGUAUCCGGAUCCAGCUUCUCCAACAACUUCCAUGGGGAGACGUAUCCGGAUCCAGCUUCUCUAGCAACUUCACGUAUCCGGUUCCAGCUUGUCGAAGAACUUCCAACGAAGGCGUAUUCGGAUACACAUUAUUGUAUCCGGUUCCAGCCAAGGUGUGCGCGGGUUUAUUCGGUUUUGCCGGCGUCGUUUCCGGUUCGUUGUGGUCUGUGAGUGGUUUGGACAUCAAUAACUGCGUUCCUCCGUCCCUCGCAUUCAUUGGUUAGCUCCAGCGUACCUUCAUCCAUGGAAGCGAUGGUGCCUUUGGUGUUGACGAGAAGGGCGCAGAUGGUGGAGGGUGUGUUCUUAUGAGCAGCAGUCGUCGCAGACAGAGACGGAGGUGGAGAGGUUGGAAGCAUUGACAGACGAGGUGGAUCCGGUUCCAUACCUCGAGUAUUCGGUUCCAGAACUUGGAACCAUUGACACAUCAGUUGUAUCCGGUUUCAGCCAGUAGUAUUCAGGCUUUCCAGGCAUUGCAGAGAGCUGCCAUGGUUGUUUAAGCAUUCCACGAAGCUGGAGAAGGAGACGUUGGAGAAGGAGACCAAGCUGGAGUGAAUCAUCCUCUUGCAUGCAUUAAAGUCCAUGUAGGUAUAAAAAGAUGAGCACCCCUAACCCUAUGUUUGUGAUGUAGUGCUUGGAGGUAUUGGCAGCAAGCUACGUGAAGGUGCAUGCAGGUGGUGGAGAUUUCGCAAGGUGGUGGACCAUUUCUGUGCUGUGUAGCCUAGGCAAGGUGGUGGACAUUGAUCAAGAUCAUUAUGUUUAAUUGAAAACAAGAUAUGGUGGCUGGUUGCUUGUGAAGUUGGUGGAUAGAGCUGCAUCAUUGACUUAAGUGGCAAGCUGAUCCAUUUUUAUGCUUAGAAAAAUUCAGAUUUGAAUAUAUCUUCUACAGAAAAGGAGAAAGUGUUAUUGUUAUUGCAGAAUCUGUGACUCACCUCACUGCCAUUGCAUUAUAAUUUGGACUCUACAUUAUAAUUUGGACUCCAAGUUUUUGCUCAAACCAGCAUAUAGUAAUCUUCAUUCGUCUUCAAAUCUGAUGAACUGCAAGAAAUAAUUAAUCAAGGAAGAAGACUAUCUAUUGCUCUUGAACGACAAACACAGGCCAUGGAGUGUCGAAAUUCCCUGUUAAAUGCUAGGAUUGAACCAUCUAAUCUAACAACAGAAGAAAUUGAAAACUUAUUACAGACUAUGAACAUUGAAGAUCAAAAUUUAUUCAGACAGUGCUUCGACUUUUUAUCUUCGCAUCCAUCCCAUACAAGACGUCUAAUAGGGAUGCCGCAACAAUAUCGUUUCAAUGCAUUGCAAUGAUACCUCACUGAAGCAAGGUCAUCAUGAACUAUUAAUAUAUUUGUAUGUUAUUAUGUUGGGACUUUUUUUUAGAUCAUGUAAUAUAAUAACUACGUUUAAUUAUAUGUUUGUUUAAAAUUAAUGAAUCUCACUUUCGUAGACAAAUAAAUUGAUAGUAUUCGGUAAGAAAUUAUAUUACAAACAA